rnacentral:lncRNA from 1 species
UUGAGAAAGUGCAAGAAGCUUUGAAGACUGUAUGACAACUUUCCGAUGCUAGAGUAAUACCGUUUAAAAAGUAACACAAAUAAAAAAAAACUAUUGAAAUGAAGCGAAGAAUCAUAACAAUUAGUUUACUUUUCUACUACUUUUCAGAAAGAAUAAUUAUCCGAAUACAAGAGCAGAUCAUGCAUGUGUCAGAUGGGGCCAUGAAGCUGUCGGUGCAAGUCGGCGAUCCAAGUGUUCGUCACCGACACCGCACAUGAUCUCCUGUCGGAUUCCAAUGGGCUUGAAAAUGGUCCCACAUCCACAUGGUUAAGUGAAUCUGCAAGUUCACUUGCGGCAGCACAUCCACACUAGAUCGAACACUAGAGCAGUGGAUGCUUGUUAAAGUUUCGGAGAGGGAACUAAUCUAGUCACAACUGCUGUGCAAGUUGGAAACGAGGAUUUACUGUCCCAGAAACCUGCAGGGUUGCCAUCGAUGGAUGCUGGAGCACUACGCGGAAGCCCUGCAGCAACCGGUGCUCGACGACUAUUCUUCUAUGGAUUUAACAUAAAAAUAAAAAUAAAGUAGACAAAAGUUUGAUCUGCAAACAUCGUGCUGUAUGUCAACUAGAGCCCUAGACGCUUGCUAGACGUUGUUUGUGAACUGAAUUUGGGCAGUCAGUUUCCAGUCGUGACACCCUACUGGUUAUCAAAAGCUUGACCGCUGCACAAAGACUAUUGCACAACGUUGCAAUACUCUUUCCGCUCUAGUGCGAUUGAAUGCAUCGACUAUGUAGGUGAGAACGCAGCGUAUGCAACCGCCUGAUGUGUGACCCGCUGUCUUUUCGCGACGAAGUCACCAUCGCGACAAAUCCUGCCGACUUCCUCUUGCUGCUUCUCAGCACCACUUCGUGGCCUUGGGGAAUUAAACUAUCCUUGGGGAAUUAUGCGACUCUGCUACGAUUUUCCUAUGUUCCUCCCCUCGGUUUCGUUUAACAACGCUGUGAGAUCGAUGUUGCCCCCACUCAUUCCCUUCGAGCUUGGAAUCGACUGAGCUUAGGUUCUUCUCCAUUAGCAAAUUGCAAGCAAGUCGGUUACGGUUCAUCGUGUCGCCUCUGUGGAAUGAUCAUUCCAUCAGCUGGG